CCUACGGGAGGCAGCAGUGAGGAAUAUUGGUCAAUGGACGAGAGUCUGAACCAGCCAAGUAGCGUGAAGGAUGACUGCCCUAUGGGUUGUAAACUUCUUUUAUAUGGGAAUAAAAUGUUCCACGUGUGGGAUUUUGUAUGUACCAUAUGAAUAAGGAUCGGCUAACUCCGUGCCAGCAGCCGCGGUAAUACGGAGGAUCCGAGCGUUAUCCGGAUUUAUUGGGUUUAAAGGGAGCGUAGGUGGAUUGUUAAGUCAGUUGUGAAAGUUUGCGGCUCAACCGUAAAAUUGCAGUUGAAACUGGCAGUCUUGAGUACAGUAGAGGUAGGCGGAAUUCGUGGUGUAGCGGUGAAAUGCUUAGAUAUCACGAAGAACGCCGAUUGCGAAGGCAGUUCACUGGACUGCAACUGACACUGAGGCACGAAAGUGUGGGUAUCAAACAGGAUUAGAUACCCGAGUAGUC
rnacentral:rRNA from 1 species